UCUCUGUGUUUAAUUGGAUAAGGGAAAAUGAGGUAAACAAUCAAGUGACCUUACACAACAUUAUCCAGAUCACUUGAUCUUACACAACAUUAUCCAGAUCACUUGAUCUUACACAACAUUAUCCAGAUCACGUGACCUUAUACAAUAUUAUCCAGAUCACGUGACCCUUACACAGCAUUAUCCAGAUCACAUGACCUUACGCAGCAUUAUUCAGGACCAGAGGAAACAGAGAAGGGACAAAAGCAAUUAUAUUUUCUCUCUUGUAUUAACUGUUGAAUAGGGAAUUGGAAUUGAAUUCUAAUAUCAUAGGUAUUUAAUGGUUUUAUUCAUUGUAUUCAAUUUUGAGAAGAAAAGCAAUGAGAAUCAGCAAAGCACAAAGUUGCCAAAGAAUAGAUGCUGCUCUGCCAGCCUGAAUGUAACAUUCAAAAUGUUCAGAGACGGAAAGCAUUGAUGAGGAAAAAAAGGUACUAUUUGGAUAAGCUUUCACAUAAAAAAAAGGUACUAUUUGGAUAAGCUUUCACAUAAAAAAGGUACUAUUUGGAUAAGCUUUCACAUAAAAAAGGUACUAUUUGGAUAAGCUUUCACAUAAAAAAGGUACUAUUUGGAUAAGCUUUCACAUAAAAAAAGGUACUAUUUGGAUAAGCUUUCACAUAAAAAAGUACUAUUUGGAUAAGCUUUCACAUAAAAAAAGUCACACAAUUUCAAACUGUCUACAUAAUAGAUUCAGAUAUAAUUAAAACAAUAAUAAAACAGUCACCACGCCUCUGCUUUGAUUAAAAGUGUGGGCCUGCAGAAAUGUAACCACAAAAAAUUCACAGACAAAGCAAUAGGUGCAAGGACUGAUCAUCCAUGAUAAAAAUUAUAGUUUUAACCUUGUUUUGAGGCUAUAUGCUGUUUGUUUACAUUUACAUUGUUUACAAACGUUGGAGUAAAACAAGCUUAUUUUUGCGUUUCUGAUGGGGCAUUUAUACCGAGUGUACAAAACUUUAGGAACACCUGCUCUUUCGAUGACAAAGACUGACCAGGUGAAAGCUAUGAUCCCUUAUUGAUGUUACUUGUUAUUUCCACUUUAAUCAGUGUAACUGAAGGGGAGGAGACAGGUUAAAAAAUGAUUUUUAAGCCUUGAGACAAUUGAGAUAUGGAUUGUGUGUGUGCCAUUCAGAGAAGUAAAUGGGCAAGACAAAAUAUUUAAGUGCCGUUGAACGGGGUAUGGUAGUAGGAGCCAGGCGCACCGGUUUGUUUCAAAAACUGCAACGCUGCUAGAUUUUUCACUCUCAACAGUUUCCUGUGUGUAUCAAGAAUGGUCCAUCACCAACUCAAUAAUAUGAAGGUGUUCUUAAUGUUUUGUACACUCAGUGUAUAAGUUCUAUUCUUCAAGAAUCAUUGGUUAUAUAUUUUUAAGUACAGCAAAUGGAUGUAACAACUAAGGACUCUAGCUUUACAGCAUUGUAUUUUUUUAUGUAUUUUUCAUAAAGGUUGGGGAGGAAACAAUCAAUUGAGAAAGAUAAAGCUUCAGAUGGGAGGGGAAGGAUAAUACCCACAGAGACAGGAGGUAACAGUGAUGUGGUAGAAGUAUUGGACAGGAUGUGGUUAGAGAGCAUUAGUGAAAUGAAUGAAGGGAGUUCCUCAGAAGCGCUCCAUCUUGUCGAUGGAUCUCUCAUUGGAGAACGAGGCUGGGGUGAUGCGACAGCUGGUACUCCCCUCCUUACUCAGCCACACCUUCUGGUGAAGAGAGGGAGGGAGAGAGGGAGGGAGAGAGGGAGGGAGAGAGGGGGG
rnacentral:lncRNA from 1 species